rnacentral:rRNA from 1 species
UACGGAGGGUGCGAGCGUUGUCCGGAAUCACUGGGCGUAAAGGGCGCGUAGGCGGCCUGAUAAGUAGGGGGUGAAAUCCUGCGGCUUAACCGCAGGGCUGCCUUCUAAACUGUCAGGCUGGAGCACAGUAGAGGCAGGUGGAAUUCCCGGUGUAGCGGUGGAAUGCGUAGAGAUCGGGGAAGAACAUCAGUGGCGAAGGCGGCCUGCUGGGCUGUUGCUGACGCUGAGGCGCGACAGCGUGGGGAGCAAACAGG